GUCUCUUUGGUAUUUAUAAUAUGGAGAGUUUUGCCUGCCCGGUGAUUGUGUAGUUUAACGGCCGCAGUACUUUGACUGUGCGAAGGUAGCAUAAUAAUUUGCCUUAUAAUUGAAGGCUUGUAUGAAUGGUUUGACGAGAAUAAAUCUGUCUUAAUUAAAUUUUUUAGAAUUUAACUUUUAAGUGAAGAGGCUUUUAUUUUAUUGAUAGACAAGAAGACCCUGUCGAGCUUAAAUUUUUGUUUUUAAUAAUUAUUUUUAUAUUAAUUUUAGGUUUUAGUUGGGGUGACUGAGGAAUAAUAUAAGUUUCCUUGUAAGAUUUUAGUUUUAUUGAUUUUGAUCCAUUAUGUUUUAAUGAUUAGUAGAAUUAGUUACCGCAGGGAUAACAGCAUAAUCAUUUUUGAGAGUUCAUAUCGAAAAAAUGGUUUGUGACCUCGAUGUUGGAUUAAAGUGUCCUAAGGGUGCAGAAGUUCUUAAGGGUUAGUCUGUUCGACUAUUAAAACUUU
rnacentral:rRNA from 1 species